GGCAAGAUGGCCGAGCGGUCUAUGGCGCUAGCUUCAGGAUUAUCCUGAGGAAACUGCUAGUAUCGAAAGAUGCGUGGGUUCGAAUCCCACUCUUGUCA